UACGUAGGGUGCGAGCGUUGUUCGGAAUUACUGGGCGUAAAGGGCGCGUAGGCGGCCUUCUAAGUCGAACGUGAAAUCCCCGGGCUCAACCCGGGAACUGCGUCCGAUACUGGAAGGCUUGAAUCCGGGAGAGGGAUGCGGAAUUCCAGGUGUAGCGGUGAAAUGCGUAGAUAUCUGGAGGAACACCGGUGGCGAAGGCGGCAUCCUGGACCGGUAUUGACGCUGAGGCGCGAAAGCCAGGGGAGCAAACGGG
rnacentral:rRNA from 1 species